rnacentral:ncRNA from 1 species
CAUCAUCUGGAUUAAAAGGGAAUCGGGUGUAAAUCCCGGACAGUCCCGCUGCUGUGAAGCUCCGUUUAUAUCAUGAAAAACACCUUUGCCACUGAUAUGCAUUGAAAUAUCGGGAAGGCUUCAGGAUUAGGAGUCAGUCAGAAGACCUGCCAUUCAUUAA